AGAUACCCUGUUACUUAUAAUUAAAAAAUUUUGGAAUAGUAAUAAUAAUGAAAUUUAACGGAUUUGGCGGCAAGAUAGCCAUUUAGAGGAACCUGCCCUGUAAACGAUGAACCACGAAAUACUUUACUUUUAUUUGUUAUCAGUUUGUAUACCGCUGUUGUCAGUCAGUUUUUCUAGAAAUCUUUCUACUAUGAUAAAAUCAAAUACUUCAAGUAAAGGUGCAGCUUAUGUAAAAGAUAGAGGUGGGUUACAUUUAUGAAGAUUAAAACGAAUAAAGAUUUUUUGAAAAAUACUUUUGAAGGUGGAUUUAAAUGUAAAGUUUAAAGAAACU
rnacentral:rRNA from 1 species